rnacentral:misc_RNA from 1 species
GAUGAAGAACGUAGCGAAAUGCGAUAAGUAAUGUGAAUUGCAGAAUUCAGUGAAUCAUCGAAUCUUUGAACGCACAUUGCGCCCCUUGGUAUUCCGAGGGGCAUGCCUGUUCGAGCGUCAUUAUAACCCCUCAAGCUCAGCUUGGUGUUGGGGCCUGCUGCACUGGCAGCCCUUAAAAUCAGUGGCGGCGCCAUCUGGCUCUAAGCGUAGUAAUUCUUCUCGCUAUGGAGUCCUGGUGGAUGCUUGCCAUCAACCCCCAAUUUUUCUAUGGUUGACCUCGGAUCAGGUAGGGAUACCCGCUGAACUUAAGCAUAUCAAUUAGCGGAGGA